GAACGGCAGCACGGGUGCUUGCACCUGGUGGCGAGUGGCGAACGGGUGAGUAAUACAUCGGAACAUGUCCUGUAGUGGGGGAUAGCCCGGCGAAAGCCGGAUUAAUACCGCAUACGAUCCAUGGAUGAAAGCGGGGGACCUUCGGGCCUCGCGCUAUAGGGUUGGCCGAUGGCUGAUUAGCUAGUUGGUGGGGUAAAGGCCCACCAAGGCGACGAUCAGUAGCUGGUCUGAGAGGACGACCAGCCACACUGGGACUGAGACACGGCCCAGACUCCUACGGGAGGCAGCAGUGGGGAAUUUUGGACAAUGGGCGAAAGCCUGAUCCAGCAAUGCCGCGUGUGUGAAGAAGGCCUUCGGGUUGUAAAGCACUUUUGUCCGGAAAGAAAUCCUGAGGGCUAAUAUCCUUCGGGGAUGACGGUACCGGAAGAAUAAGCACCGGCUAACUACGUGCCAGCAGCCGCGGUAAUACGUAGGGUGCGAGCGUUAAUCGGAAUUACUGGGCGUAAAGCGUGCGCAGGCGGUUUGUUAAGACCGAUGUGAAAUCCCCGGGCUCAACCUGGGAACUGCAUUGGUGACUGGCAAGCUAGAGUAUGGCAGAGGGGGGUAGAAUUCCACGUGUAGCAGUGAAAUGCGUAGAGAUGUGGAGGAAUACCGAUGGCGAAGGCAG
rnacentral:rRNA from 1 species